UAAGGAAUAUUGGUCAAUGGACGCAAGUCUGAACCAGCCAUGCCGCGUGAAGGAUGAAGGUCCUCUGGAUUGUAAACUUCUUUUAUCUGGGACGAAAACGGGAUUUUUAUCUCAAUUGACGGUACCAGAGGAAUAAGCACCGGCUAACUCCGUGCCAGCAGCAGCGGUAAUACGGAGGGUGCGAGCGUUAUCCGGAUUUACUGGGUUUAAAGGGUGCGUAGGUGGGCUUAUAAGUCAGUGGUGAAAUCUCCGAGCUUAACUUGGAAACUGCCGUUGAUACUAUAGGUCUUGAAUUAUCUGGAGGUAAGCGGAAUAUGUCAUGUAGCGGUGAAAUGCUUAGAUAUGACAUAGAACACCAAUCGCGAAGGCAGCUUACUACAUAUAAAUUGACGCUGAGGCACGAAAGCGUGGGGAUCAAACA
rnacentral:rRNA from 1 species